GACGAACGCUGGCGGCGUGCCUAAUACAUGCAAGUGGGACGCAAGGGAACACUCUGUGCUUGCACACCGUGUUUUCUUGAGUCGCGAACGGGUGAGUAACGCGUAGGUAACCUGCCUAUUAGCGGGGGAUAACUAUUGGAAACGAUAGCUAAUACCGCAUAAUAUUAAUUAUUGCAUGAUAAUUGAUUGAAAGAUGCAAGCGCAUCACUAGUAGAUGGACCUGCGUUGUAUUAGCUAGUUGGUAAGGUAAGAGCUUACCAAGGCGACGAUACAUAGCCGACCUGAGAGGGUGAUCGGCCACACUGGGACUGAGACACGGCCCAGACUCCUACGGGAGGCAGCAGUAGGGAAUCUUCGGCAAUGGACGAAAGUCUGACCGAGCAACGCCGCGUGAGUGAAGA
rnacentral:rRNA from 1 species